rnacentral:rRNA from 1 species
GACGAACGCUGGCGGCGUGCUUAACACAUGCAAGUCGAACGAAGAGCGAUGGAAGCUUGCUUCUAUCAAUCUUAGUGGCGCACGGGUGAGUAACGCGUAAUCAACCUGCCCUUCAGAGGGGGACAACAGUUGGAAACGACUGCUAAUACCGCAUACGAUCUAAUCUCGGCAUCGAGGAUAGAUUAAAGGCGGCCUCUACAUGUAAGCUAUCACUGAAGGUGGGGAUUGCGUCUGAUUAGGUAGUUGGAGGGGUAACGGCCCACCAAGGCGAUGAUCAGUAGCCGGUCUGAGAGGAUGAACGGCCACAUUGGGACUGAGAAACGGCCCAGACUCCUACGGGAGGCAGCAGUGGGGAAUCUUCCGCAAUGGACGAAAGUCUGACGGAGCAACGCCGCGUGAGCGAUGACGGCCUUCGGGUUGGAAAGCUCUGUUAAUCGGGACGAAAGGCCUUCUUGCGAAUAGUGAGAAGGAUUGACGGUACCGGAAGAGAAAGCCACGGCUAACUACGUG